UUUACUUUUCUCUACCUACCCGUGCAAUAUACAUCUGGGUGCACGGUAUAUCUAAGGUAUUCUGCACUUAUUUUCGAUUGGUCCUAACAUUGAACAAGCGGUUAGAUACAUGAUUCAACUGUCAAGAAUAGUGGUUAUGGCUGUUGGGCUUGGAGUUGGAGAUGGAGUUUCUCCAACUGAUGAUAUAGAACAAGCUAAGGCAUGCGUGUCGGGUAUGUCCUUGAUAUUUUUGUGUCUUCAUUUCUAACUUAAUUUGAACAUUUUACUUCCAUACAUCUUGUACUUUCACACUUAAGCUCUUUGUCUCAAACAACAUUUCAUAUUAUUAAUUUUUUCCAACAAUUUUGGGAUGAAGAUUUGAGUGUUUUCUCUGUUUCACACUACGAGUACGAGUUUAAGCUCUUAGUCUCAAACUAUAUUUCAUAUUAAUUUGAGAUCAAGGUUUGAUGAAAUUGACGCGGUAGGAGGUGCACGUUCUUUUGAUGUUGCUGCUGGCCUGGUGAUAAUGAGACUUGAUACUCUUGACCCUGCCCUCCGAAGGAUGGAUCGGAAGUUUGUGAAAGAGAAAGACUUUGUUGAUGCAGUGACAAAGUAUAUGCUUUACAACUGAAACAGUUGCUUUUUCUCAAGAAACCAAAUUGCUAACCCCUGAUGACUAGUAAAGAAGGGAGUGAUCGAGAUUUGAACCCGUGACCUUUGUGUUACGUUGGUUCCGAUAUUAUGUUAAGGGACUAACUCAACCAAAAGCUUAAUUAAGCUCAUGUUUGUUGUGAGUCAAUUUUAAGUGUAUACACUUUUUUGAGUUUGGACAUGGAACUUAGACUGUUUUUUUUGCAAUUAAACUGCAUGUUAGUCGUUGCUUUUAAAGUCCGUGUUCAUUCAUUUUAACUCUUACGUACUUUUAAAGUUCAUGUUCAUUUAUUUUAGCCUUAAUGUUAUUUGAAUAUACC